UGACCUCGGAUCAGGUAGGAAUACCCGCUGAACUUAAGCAUAUCAAUAAGCGGAGGAAAAGAAACCAACAGGGAUUGCCUCAGUAACGGCGAGUGAAGCGGCAACAGCUCAGAUUUGAAAUCUGGCCCUAGGCCCGAGUUGUAAUUUGCA
rnacentral:rRNA from 1 species